rnacentral:rRNA from 1 species
CCUACGGGAGGCUGCAGUCGAGAAUCAUUCACAAUGGGGGAAACCCUGAUGGUGCGACGCCGCGUGGGGGAAUGAAGGUCUUCGGAUUGUAAACCCCUGUCAUGUGGGAGCAAAUUAAAAAGAUAGUACCACAAGAGGAAGAGACGGCUAACUCUGUGCCAGAAGCCGCGGUAAUACAGAGGUCUCAAGCGUUGUUCGGAAUCACUGGGCGUAAAGCGUGCGUAGGCUGUUUCGUAAGUCGUGUGUGAAAGGCGCGGGCCAAACCCGCGGACUGCACAUGAUACUGGGAGACUAGAGUAAUGGAGGGGGAAGCGGAAUUCUCGGUGUAGCAGUGAAAUGCGUAGAUAUCGAGAGGAACACUCGUGGCGAAGGCGGGUUCCUGGACAUUAACUGACGCUGAGGCACGAAGGCCAGGGGAGCGAAAGGGAUUAGAUACCCGGGUAGUC